rnacentral:rRNA from 1 species
GACGGAGGGUGCAAGCGUUUGUCCGGAAUUAUUGGGCGUAAAGAGCUCGUAGGCGGUUUGUCGCGUCGAAUGUGAAAACCCGGGGCUCAACCCCGGGCCUGCAUUCGAUACGGGCAGACUAGAGUUCGGUAGGGGAGUCUGGAAUUCCUGGUGUAGCGGUGAAAUGCGCAGAUAUCAGGAGGAACACCGGUGGCGAAGGCGGGACUCUGGGCCGAUACUGACGCUGAGGAGCGAAAGCGUGGGGGCAAACAGG